rnacentral:misc_RNA from 1 species
AAGUCGUAACAAGGUUUCCGUAGGUGAACCUGCGGAAGGAUCAUUAUCGAGUUUUGAACGGGUUGUAGCUGGCCUUUAAUGAGGCAUGUGCACACCUGGCUCAUCCACUCUCAACCUCUGUGCACUUUAUGUAAGAAACGGUGUAAGCCAGCUAUUUAAUAGUUGGUAACAAGCCUUUCUUAUGUUUACUACAAACGCUUCAGUUAUAGAAUGUUUACUGUGUAUAACACAAUUAUAUACAACUUUCAGCAACGGAUCUCUUGGCUCUC